rnacentral:rRNA from 1 species
AUUGAACGCUGGCGGCAUGCUUUACACAUGCAAGUCGAACGGUGACAGGUUAAGCUGACGAGUGGCGAACGGGUGAGUAAUGCAUCGGAACGUGCCCGGUCGUGGGGGAUAACGCAGCGAAAGCUGCGCUAAUACCGCAUACGAUCUGAGGAUGAAAGCGGGGGACCGUAAGGCCUCGCGCGAUCGGAGCGGCCGAUGUCAGAUUAGGUAGUUGGUGGGGUAAAGGCUCACCUAGCCAACGAUCUGUAGCUGGUCUGAGAGGACGACCAGCCACACUGGGACUGGGACACGGCCCAGACUCCUACGGGAGGCAGCAGUGGGGAAUUUUGGACAAUGGGCGAAAGCCUGAUUCAGCAAUGCCGCGUGCAGGAAGAAGGCCUUCGGGUUGUAAACUGCUUUUGUACGGAGCGAAAAGGUCUCCUCUAAUACAGGGGGCUCAUGACGGUACCGUAAGAAUAAGCACCGGCUAACUACGUGCCAGCCGCCGCAGUAA